GGUCACUUCCUGGAACAAUAUCCUGGUGCUGCUCGAGUGUUCCCUACAGACUCCAGCAUCAGUGAUUUUGUUGCAGGCGCUG
rnacentral:pre_miRNA from 13 species